rnacentral:snRNA from 1 species
AAAACCUUUUCUUUAUGUAAA